rnacentral:rRNA from 1 species
GGAAGUAAAAGUCGUAACAAGGUCAUCGUAGGUGAACCUGCGGUGGGAUCAUCAAUAAUCUAACUACCACAACAAAUGGUGUGAACUAGUGCUGAUUAUGUUUAAUGGGAUUGGGUUUUAUUAUCCGGUUUCAUAUUUUCUUUCUCCAAUGUGCUCUCUCGGGGGCAUUUUGGAGAUGGGAGACAACCUGCACUUAACAGUGUGUUUAUGGCCAAAUACAACAACUUUCCGUAUGAUUGCAGACUCGUCUGUGGUUAGGAAAACAAACGUAUACUUUUCUAUCUAGCUGUGAUGGCAAGAUAUAAAUUACAUAGAACUAUUAAUGGUGGAUCACUUGGCUCUCGCAUCGAUGAAGAACGCAGCGAAUUGCGAAAAUUGUCGUGACUUGCAUCAUCGUGAAUCAUCGAGUUUUCGAACGCACAUUGCACUUUACACUUGUGUAAAGUAUGUCUGUUUGAGCAUCAUUAUAUACCCCCACCCACAAUCUUUUGUUGAAAGACAGGAGGUUGAGGGGAUUGAUGAGCGUGUCUGGCGUGUGGGUCUUCGGGCUCAUGGUCAGUCGUUUGAAAUGCAGAGGUUGCCCCAUCUCGGUGGGACAGAGAUAACCACUACAUUCAACAGAUUUCAACAUCUUGUUUGGGAGUGUGCAAUACUUGGUUUUCCAAAAACUUUUGCCCACGUUAGCACCAGGCAUACCGUCGUCUUCUGGUAGUAAACUUCUCGUAAUGCCUCAGGGUCUUUCACAAGCCCGCUUGCAAAAUCAUAAACUCAUAUUUUGAUCUCAAAUCAGGCAAGACUACCCGCUGAAUUUAAGCAUAUCAAUAAGCGGAGGA